GCAGCCGUGGGGUAAGGGUAACCUGCGAGCUUCCCAAAGAGUAAGGGUGCCUCGGCAUUCCUCACUGAAGCUGCUCGCGCACCGGGUUCGAGUCCCGGCGGCUGCA